rnacentral:RNase_P_RNA from 1 species
AAAGUUAGUCGGACAGUCGCGCUUAUUAUAAGUGAGGAAAGUCCGGGCUUUAUAGAGCAAGAUGCCAGAUAACAUCUGGGGGGCGUGAGCCUACGGAAAGUGCAACAGAAAAUAUACCGCCUUUUUAAAAGGUAAGGGUGAAAAGGUGUGGUAAGAGCGCACCGCAUUGGUGGUAACACGCAAUGGCAUUGUAAACCCCAUCUAAAGCAAGACCAAAUAGCGUCACGUAUAUGUGCUGCUCGCACUGUGACAGGGUAGGUCGCUUGAGCUUGCUGGUGACAGUAAGCCUAGAUAAAUGACUGUCUAUUACAGAACCCGGCUUAUAGACUAGCUUUGUAU